rnacentral:rRNA from 1 species
CGCUUUUGUGGGGUGCUCGAGUGGCGAACGGGUGAGUAACACGUGAGUAACCUGCCCUUGACUUUGGGAUAACUUCAGGAAACUGGGGCUAAUACCGGAUAGGAGCUCCUGCUGCAUGGUGGGGGUUGGAAAGUUUCGGCGGUUGGGGAUGGACCCGCGGCUUAUCAGCUUGUUGGUGGGGUAGUGGCUUACCAAGGCUUUGACGGGUAGCCGGCCUGAGAGGGUGACCGGCCACAUUGGGACUGAGAUACGGCCCAG